rnacentral:rRNA from 1 species
UACGUAGGCAGCAAGCGUUGUUCGGAAUUACUGGGCGUAAAGAGUGUGUAGGCGGUGCUCUAAGUUCGGUGUGAUAUCUCCCGGCUUAACUGGGAGGGUGCGCCGGAAACUGGAGUGCUUGAGCGCGGGAGAGGAAAGCGGAAUUCCUGGUGUAGCGGUGGAAUGCGCAGAUAUCAGGAGGAACACCUAUAGCGAAGGCAGCUCGCUGGGACGACACUGACGCUGAGACGCGAAAGCGUGGGGAGCGAACAGG